UGAGUUAGUUAGGCAAUCACUGGUUUAUUGAAGCCUAAAGUGUUCUUUAGAACAAACUAGUGGGACAAAUAGACGAGAGGAAAGUCCGAGCUACAAAGGGCAGAGUGCCAGAUAACGUCUGGGAGGCGUGAGCCUACGACUAGUGCAACAGAGAGCAGACCGCCUGUGAUUAAAACACAGGUAAGGGUGAAAGGGUGUGGUAAGAGCACACCGCGUGAAUGGUAACAUUUCACGGCACGGUAAACUCCACUCGUAGCAAGACCAAAUAGGAAUCCAAUGAGUCGCCCGUUCAGGAUUCGGGUAGGUUGCUUGAGCUUGUGUGUGAAUACAAGCCUAGAGGAAUGAUUGUCCACGACAGAACUCGGCUUAUCGACUAACUCAGUUC
rnacentral:RNase_P_RNA from 2 species